rnacentral:misc_RNA from 1 species
UCUCCGUAGGUGAACCUGCGGAGGGAUCAUUACAAGUGACCCCGGUCUUACCACCGGGAUGUUCAUAACCCUUUGUUGUCCGACUCUGUUGCCUCCGGGGCGACCCUGCCUUCGGGCGGGGGCUCCGGGUGGACACUUCAAACUAUUGCGUAACUUUGCAGUCUGAGUAAACUUAAUUAAUAAAUUAAAACUUUUAACAACGGAUCUCUUGGUUCUG